GACGAACGCUGGCGGCGUGCCUAAUACAUGCAAGUCGAACGCUUCUUUCCUCCCGAGUGCUUGCACUCAAUUGGAAAGCGGAGUGGCGGACGGGUGAGUAACACGUGGGUAACCUACCCAUCAGAGGGGGAUAACACUUGGAAACAGGUGCUGAUACCGCAUAACAGUUUAUGCCGCAUGGCAUAAGAGUGAAAGGCGCUUUCGGGUGUCGCUGAUGGAUGGACCCGCGGUGCAUUAGCUAGUUGGUGAGGUAACGGCUCACCAAGGCCACGAUGCAUAGCCGACCUGAGAGGGUGAUCGGCCACGCUGGGACUGAGACACGGCCCAGACUCCUACGGGAGGCAGCAGUAGGGAAUCUUCGGCAAUGGACGAAAGUCUGACCGAGCAACGCCGCGUGAGUGAAGAAGGUUUUCGGAUCGUAAAACUCUGUUGUUAGAGAAGAACAAGGACGUUAGUAACUGAACGUCUCCUGACGGUACCUAAACAGAAAGACACGGCUAACUACGUG
rnacentral:rRNA from 1 species